CUAUUUUAUUAAUUUAAAAACCCAUGUACUCCCAGUGGGAGUAGAAAUUUUUAGUAAUAAUUUUUGCUAAAUUUUUUUAAUCAAUAAUGUGUUUUCGUUUUUAAUCUUUUUCAAGCCACCAUUUAUUUUGCCAUGAAGCGCCCUCCUGCUAAUUUAUGAUUCUUUGGUGUUCAAUAAAUUAUCGAUUCUGUCUUUUUGUGAUUCAGACCCCAGCAUUUUUUUUAAUUUUAUGAUACAUUCCCCACCUACUGCCUCCACAACAAAAAAAUAAGGUUAAAUAAAUUUCUAUAUAUUUUGAAAACACCAAUUAUAAUUGUCUAACAGUUUUGGAUGCCUUUGACAAGUUACUCCACAUCUUUUACGCGUUUGAUGUUCCAUUCUCUGAAGAAUCUGUCCUGUCCUGGUCCAAUGAUUUCCAUGUAUUUUCUGACCACUUGCCACUGUGCUGGCAAGUUUUACCUGCCAGGCUUAUCUGAAAAAAAGGUAUGUUUGGCCCGAAAAAGAAGCAAAAUAUCUAAUGUCUAACUGAAAAAGAGGAAGCACCACACCUACUUGUUGGAAUGCCUUAUCGCCUGGUCUUAUGGCGAGGAAUAGCCCUCCCUCUGCAGCAAGAGCUCCACCAUAGCAACUUUCCAAUCUGUUGCCCCGUACCUUCCUUUUCAUCUUAUCCCCUUCUAUUGUAAGAUCCACAUGAUCUUAAUCAAAGACAUCAUCUUCAUUAAACGUUAUAAACAAGA